CUGGUGUGUUCAGAGCCGGACUCUGUCAGACCAUAGAGUUCGGUUUAUACCACACCACAGAUCAGCUGGAGGAGAACCAGAACCAGAACUCUGAAGAACAGAGUCUGGAAGGAACUCUCUCUCCACACAU